AGCAGAGGCUUGCUGAGGAGCGCUGGCAGGAAUCUGCAGGGACAGAAAAGAGUGGGGAAGGACCAGAGGAGAGAAAAUGGAAGUUUUUCUGGCAGCCACACUAAAAGCACCAGUUAUCACACAGCACUGAUUAGAGCUCCAGCCCUGCAGGACCGGUGGAGAAGAGAGGAAACUCCCAUCUGCUUAUUGAGACACAAGAUGAACAUAUGCCAAAAACCAGAACACUAUGAAAUAAUAACAAGAAAGAG